CACCUCGCCGCCAGUACGCUGAGGGCCGUUCCGCUGCAGCUGGUUUUUACUGGAGUGUGUUGUUGCAUUCAAGAGGUGAGAAAUAACUGUCAUCCAAUGGUGACGAAUCAGGGAAAUCAUCAACUUGUGACUUCUCGCUGUAGCCACGCCUGUCUCUCCACCGUAGCAAUUUUUUGCUGGACGCAGUGAGAUCGAUUUCUGCUGCUGCCCCAACCCAAUAUCGAGCUUUAUGUCGUACUCUUCACUAAUAUGUUUCUAUCUUUUUUCGAAAUCUACUGUCAAAAGAAACCUUAAAUAGAUUGGUUCAGAAACAA